rnacentral:lncRNA from 1 species
GUUUUGAGGAGGAGCCUUGAUGAAUCCGAGCAGACAGGACCCUCAGCGCCUCCGGGCCCCCUCCCUGGGCACUCUGCAGCCUGCCUGGCGAUACGGCGCGGCCGGCGGGUUGGCACAGGCUGCCAGGUCUCCAUCCCCUUGGGUCUGCACAUCUCUGAAAAAGUGCAAUGACCUGAGGCACAAACGCCAGAUGGAAACCUGGAACUGUCCUCUUUCUAAUGUCACAUAAACGCGGCCCUAUCUGGUACGUUAGCAUCAGUCCCCGCGCCGCAGGGCGCAGCUCGGGUCGCCCCGGUGCUGGCCUCAGCACGCUGGCACACCUAGGGAGCAGGCAUUUUUACCCGAAGAGCGCGGUGACUCGGCUUGGUCACCAGAUGGCGCUGCGGCCCCAGCCAUCGCGCUCGGGGUCCGCGUGGGUUCCGCGGGCGGGACCGACGGGGCCGGGGCGGAGCCCAGGACGCUGGCACCUGGGGCCGCUGCGGCUCAGAGCGGUGGGUUCCGGCAGAUGGUGGAGUCCGGGCCUGAUGAAGGAUAUUUUCUUUGGCUACAGAAAUCGAAGGUGGACAGGUUUUCCUUCCAGUGGCUGUUUCCUGCCUGGCAUUGCAGCAUCUCGCCCUGGACUUGUGAAAUCCAGCCCUUGGAUAAGGACCUGCCGCAGCCUUCAGGCCCAUCUCUGCCUGCCCUCCCUUCUCCAUGCAGCUUCCCCUGCUUACGGUAUCAUGCCCCACAGAUCCAUCUUUCUCAGCAGCCCCAAACUCCGAUCUCUGCUCUCUCUGAAGAGUGAGGUCUUUCUGCUUGGUCUCUCCUCCCUGCACCCCCACCGAAAUCGGGGGUUGAGGGGGUGGGCAUGUGGAGCUUGCAUAAUGUGCUUCCUUCUCCCAAGGAUGCCAGCCUGUGCUGGCUGUAGCUCAAUGCCUGCGAAGAGCUGCCUGGCACGUUGUGUCUGCUUUACAAUAGUUUGCAGUGGGAGGGUAAGUCUGACACUAGUUACUGCAUCAUGGCUGACGUCUAAGGCCUUCUGAUCUGUUCUUCAACAUGUAGCUUCCUUCGCCAUCUCUUUUGUUUGCUUACAACGUAUUAGAAACCACACUCAUUGUGCUGCAGAGUUGCCCACAUCUGGAUUUUGCUGACCACAUUCCACUAGUGCUGUUUAAGUGGCUCCCCCGUCCCUCAUGUUUCCUAUAAACUGGUAGUCCCGUCUAGAGGCUGAAUCCCAAUCUGGUUGAUCUUUUU